UACGUAGGUGGCGAGCGUUACUCGGAAUCACUGGGCAUAAAGGGCGUGUAGGCGGGCGCGUAAGUCCGGUGUAAAAGCCCCCGGCUCAACCGGGGAAGGCCAUUGGAUACUGCGUGUCUUGAGUGCGGGAGGGGAGAGUGGAACUCUUGGUGGAGCGGUGAAAUGCGUAGAUAUCAAGAGGAACGCCGGUGGCGAAAGCGACUCUCUGGCCCGUUACUGACGCUGAGGCGCGAAAGCUAGGGGAGCAAACGGG
rnacentral:rRNA from 1 species